GGGAGCCUGCAGGGCGAGACGCGGGGGCACCGGUCCGCGGUCAUUCCUGUGCUGCUGCGGUGAAACCCGUUUUGCUCGCAGUAGGCGAGAGAGGAAAGAAACCCCUCCCGGGCCCGGUUGGCUUUCACGGUGUGGCCCGCAGCGUUACCUCUCUGAGGCGGGGUCCAGCCUCGGAGGAAUUUAAGAUGUAGUUCAGAGAUUAGUUUGCUCAGAGAUGUGCUGCACCCCACAGAGAAGGAUCCACAUUAAGGAUUGAAAAUUUAGUGAUACACAUUCAAGCCUCUGGUUUCCAUAUGUAGUGAAGAUACCCAAAAGAAGCAGCAGCAGUGGAAUUGUAUGAGAACCCUGAGACUGUCACUAUGCUGGAUUUAAACAAAUUCUGUUAAUCCUGCACUAACCUGAGCUCUCACAUCAUGCAAAAGA